rnacentral:tRNA from 3 species
GGAAAGUUGCCGGAGUGGUCGAUCGGGGCGGUCUCGAAAACCGUUGUGCGUUUUACGUACCGGGGGUUCGAAUCCCUCACUUUCCG